rnacentral:misc_RNA from 1 species
CUGCGAGGCCUAGGGUAUG